rnacentral:rRNA from 1 species
GAUGAACGCUGGCGGCGUGCCUAAUACAUGCAAGUCGAGCGAACGGACGAGAAGCUUGCUUUUCUGAUGUUAGCGGCGGACAGGUGAGUAACACGUGGAUAACCUACCUAUAAGACUGGGAUAACUUCGGGAAACCGGAGCUAAUACCGGAUAAUAUUUUGAACCGCAUGGUUCAAAAGUGAAAGACGGUCUUGCUGUCACCUAUAGAUGGAUCCGCGCUGCAUUAGCUAGUUGGUAAGGUAACGGCUUACCAAGGCAACGAUGCAUAGCCGACCUGAGAGGGUGAUCGGCCACACUGGAACUGAGACACGGUCCAGACUCCUACGGGAGGCAGCAGUAGGGAAUCUUCCGCAAUGGGCGAAAGCCUGACGGAGCAACGCCGCGUGAGUGAUGAAGGUCUUCGGAUCGUAAAACUCUGUUAUUAGGGAAGAACAUAUGUGUAAGUAACUGUGCACAUCUUGACGGUACCUAAUCAGAAAGCCACGGCUAACUACGUG